UGGGGAAUUUUGGACAAUGGGCGAAAGCCUGAUCCAGCAAUGCCGCGUGUGUGAAGAAGGCCUUCGGGUUGUAAAGCACUUUUGUCCGGAAAGAAAUCCUCUGGGUUAAUACCUCGGGGGGAUGACGGUACCGGAAGAAUAAGCACCGGCUAACUAACGUGCCAGCAGCCGCGGUAAUACGUAGGGUGCAAGCGGUUAAUCGGAAUUACUGGGCGUAAAGCGUGCGCAGGCGGUUUUGUAAGACGGAUGUGAAAUCCCCGGGCUUAACCUGGGAACUGCAUUCGUGACUGCAAGGCUAGAGUAUGGCAGAGGGGGGUAGAAUUCCACGUGUGAGCAGUGAAAUGCGUAGAGAUGUGGAGGAAUACCGAUGGCGAAGGCAGCCCCCUGGGCCAAAUACUGACGCUCAUGCACGAAAGCGUGGGGAGCAAACAGGAUUAGAUACCCUGGUAGUCCACGCCCUAAAACGAUGUC
rnacentral:rRNA from 1 species